AUUGAACGCUGGCGGCAGGCUUAACACAUGCAAGUCGAGCGAGCGGCGGACGGGUGGGUAAUGUCUGGGAAACUGCCUGAUGGAGGGGGAUAACUACUGGAAACGGUAGCUAAUACCGCAUACCAUCAGAUGUGCUCAGAUGGGAUUAGCUAGUCGGUGGGGUAAUGGCUCACCUAGGCGACGAUCCCUACCCGGUCUGAGAGGAUGACCAGCCACACUGGAACUGAGACACGGUCCAGACUCCUACGGGAGGCAGCAGUGGGGAAUAUUGCGCAAUGGGCGCAAGACUGAGGCAGCCAUGCCGCGUGAGUGAAGAAGGCCUUCGGGUUGUAAAGCACUGUCAGCGGGGAGGCGGUACUCGAAGAAGAAGCACCGGCUAACUCCGUGCCAGCAGCCGCGGUAAUAC
rnacentral:rRNA from 1 species